rnacentral:rRNA from 1 species
GAUGAACGCUGGCGGCGUGCCUAAUACAUGCAAGUCGAGCGAACGGACGAGAAGCUUGCUUCUCUGAUGUUAGCGGCGGACGGGUGAGUAACACGUGGAUAACCUACCUAUAAGACUGGGAUAACUUCGGGAGACCGUAGCUAAUACCGGAUAAUAUUUUGAACCGCAUGGUUCAAAAGUGAAAGACGGUCUUGCUGUCACUUAUAGAUGGAUCCGCGCUGCAUUAGCUAGUUGGUAAGGUAACGGCUUACCAAGGCAACGAUGCAUAGCCGACCUGAGAGGGUGAUCGGCCACACUGGAACUGAGACACGGUCCAGACUCCUACGGGAGGCAGCAGUAGGGAAUCUUCCGCAAUGGGCGAAAGCCUGACGGAGCAACGCCGCGUGAGUGAUGAAGGUCUUCGGAUCGUAAAACUCUGUUAUUAGGGAAGAACAUAUGUGUAAGUAACUGUGCACAUCUUGACGGUACCUAAUCAGAAAGCCACGGCUAACUACGUA